rnacentral:rRNA from 1 species
GAACGAACGUUGGCGGCGUGGAUUAGGCAUGCAAGUCGAACGAAUCCCUGAGGGCUUGCUCUCAGGGGGAAGUGGCGAAAGGGGCAGUAAGGCGUGGGUAACCUACCCCGGGGACCGGGAUAGCCCUCCUAACGGAGGGGUAAUACUGGGCGAUGUGGCGUGAGGGCAUCCUCGUGCCACCAGAUGAAUUUCGCCCUGGGAGGGGCUCACGUAGUAUUAGCUAGUUGGUGGGGUGAUGGCCUACCAAGGCAAAGAUGCUUAGCGGGUGUGAGAGCACGACCCGCGCCACUGGCACUGAGACACUGGCCAGACUCCUACGGGAGGCUGCAGUCGAGGAUCUUCGGCAAUGGGCGCAAGCCUGACCGAGCGACGCCGCGUGUGCGAUGAAGGCCUUCGGGUUGUAAAGCACUGUCGAGGGGGAGGAAGGCGCAAGCUUGACCUAUCCCUGGAGGAAGCACGGGCUAAGUUCGUGCCAGCAGCCGCGGUAAGACGAACCGUGCGAACGUUGUUCGGAAUCACUGGGCUUAAAGGGCGCGUAGGCGGCUAGGUAAGUCUCGGGUGAAAUCUUUCGGCUUAACCGGAAAAGUGCCUGGGAUACUGCGUAGCUAGGGGGAGAUAGGGGCGGACGGAACUUCCGGUGGAGCGGUGAAAUGCGUUGAUAUCGGAAGGAACGCCGGUGGCGAAAGCGGUCCGCUGGAUCUCUACUGACGCUGAGGCGCGAAAGCCAGGGGAGCAAACGGGAUUAGAUACCCCGGUAGUCCUGGCCCUAAACGAUGGGUACUGGGUAGUGGGCCGUCAUGUGCUCACUGCCGAAGCGAAAGUGGUAAGUACCCCGCCUGGGGAGUAUGGUCGCAAGGCUGA